CGGCGCUGCCCGCCCCCGGCAGCCCCCCGCGGGAGGCUGUGUUACCUGGAAGCCCGCCUGACCCAGAGAACAACAACAUCAGCAAUGACAGGUGCCCGGGAAGCAGCAGCAAGCAGCCGGCGGGGCGGCCAGCCGUGUCGUACGACUGCGCGGAGGAGGAGCUGAUGGCCAGCAUCGAGCGGGAGUACGGCCGCUGAGCCCCCAGCGGGAAGCAGAAAGCUGCUGCCAACAGGCCACGGCCACCCCUCGCAUGGGCAGGAGGAGGAGGAGGAGGAGGAGGGAGAGGAUGGGCGAGAGGCAGCACGACUGGAGGAUGACCUGAAGAAAGCCCACCUGGCAAAUCAACAUUUCAAAGCUCCUUUCUGAGCCAUAUUUCCAAAUGAAGGCAUAUUAGAGUUCUGCUGAGCGCUGAGACAUGGUGCUUGGAAGGAAGACCUUAUUUUUUGGGUGUCCUGGCAGUGCAGGUGCUGUACCCGCAGCACAAGGGCUUUUACCCCCAUUGAAAGCAGGAGGCACAUCCCCAGGGCCACCUCGCCGUGGCCACGGCCAUCUACUUAGAGAGGGGCUUGCACAGCAGCUCUUUGCCAUCCAUUCUCAGUCACCGCUCCUGGCCUUCCCGUGCAUUUCUUUCCUCCAUAGCUAGUCUAGAAGAAAAAUCACUACACUUUAUCAUUAGCUGAAUAAGAAAGCCUGGAUCGCCACAGAAAAUCAUGUUUUCAGCGCUCCCUGACAGGGAAGCCUGAUAUUUUAGGGUUUCUGCCUGUGUUUUACCUGCAUCUUAGUAUGUUAUGAGUAGCUGCUUAUUUUCGGAAGUAGAAAAAUACCUUAUUUCUGUCUUCAGCUGAAUUGUAAAAGAUGCCAGAUGAAAUCUUCACAAAGAAUGUGCAAGGGGAAACAGCAGGAUGCAGCUGUAUUUUGACUUCUUUGUCCUUCCUGAAAUCUGUGUAAGAGAAAGAAAGGGCUCUGUAUUCUACAUAACUCUCAAUAAAGGCAAAUAAGCUGUUUAGAAAA